rnacentral:lncRNA from 1 species
CCAUGGAUGUUCCUGUGAACACGCUUCAUGCUGCAGGGUAUGUUUCCAUCGGGUGUGAGCCGUGCACGAGAGCGGUUUUACCAGGUCAACACGAGAGAGAAGGGAGAUGGUGGUGGGAAGAUGCAAAGGCUAAAGAGUGUGGACUUCACAAAGGGAAUAUCAAGGAGAAUAACAACGGGAACGCAACGGCUAAUGUCAAUGGGACAUCCACAGUUGCGGAUAUUUUCAAAAGCGAGAAUGUUGUGAACUUGAGCAGGCAAGGGAUUGAGAAUUUGAUGAAGUUGGAGAACCGGAAAGAGGCUUGGAUCGUUGUUCUUUAUGCUCCGUGGUGCCCGUUUUGUCAAGCAAUGGAGGCUUCUUUUGAUGAAUUGGCUGAUAAGUUGGCUGGAAAUGGCGUGAAGGUCGCUAAGUUUAGAGCUGAUGGUGACCAAAAGGAGUUUGCUAAAAGGGAUUUGCAGCUCGGAAGCUUCCCAACAAUACUUGUGUUCUCAAAGAACUCUUCAAGACCAAUCAAGUAUCCAUCGGAGAAGAGAGAUGUCGAUUCUUUGACAUCCUUCUUGAAUCUCGUUCGGUGAGCAGCGAAAAUCCGUCGACUUUACGAGGAGAAACAGCCAGUCAAUAAACCAUUCUUCAGUCUCGUUCCAGAAUGCUAGAACAGAAUGAAGAAUAUCAUGAGAUUCUCUAUUGAAGCUCUGAUUUUUUGUAUAGUUGUGGUUAAAAGUAGUUGCCUUUGUGCUGAUAUUUUUACCAAAACUUCUCCUUUUGUACUCUUUUUGCUUCUGUGAUGAUAUGAACAAGUUUCCCAACAUCGAUUACUUUGAUAUUGAACUGACUCAUUAUCCCCAAGAACAAUGUAUUUGAGUAAAUUUUCAAAUCCCAAUUUCAAAAGCAAAAGAAGAAGGUAAAAUAUAGAGGAAAGGUUUCUGAAUAUUAAACCCCAAAAGGCAAAGAUUCAAACAUCAAAGCAAAGGAAAAAGCCAGAGAGAAGGAAGGAAUGUACUUCUUAUCUUCCUGGUUUAUCUAUGUACAUAAAGAAAUCGAAAGAUCGAUAUAUUUAUUCAAGCAGCGAUCAAAGAUCCAAAAGUGUUCUCUCCGCUGUAAGUCAUGUAGAGGAACCCGUCUUCAUCCUUGUGUUCUUCAUAGAUUGCAGACAUCAAUGCAGCUGUUCGGAAAUAAAAGAGCCAAGUGAGAACGAGCAAAAUGAAGAGCAUGAAACUUUGAUCUUGAAUGGUGAUCCUUACCAGUUGGAGGCAAUGUGUUCUUGACAAAGACAAAGAUGGCUUUCUCGGCUCCAAGCUUGAUUCUUUUGCGAACCACGUACACAAAUUGGCCAACGGUUAGAUCUGCUGGCACAAGAUACCUAAAGAAAGUAGAAGAACAUAAGCAUAAUCUUCAAGAUAUGAUAACACAGACAUUAGAGAGAUGGAAAAAGCCAUUACUCACUUCUUCUUGUCAAUGUCAGGGACAUCACUUUGUCCAGCCUUUUCCACAAUCACCUACAAUAUCAGCUACUAAGUUAGAACAAUGCUCAGCUAAAUUUAGUAAACGACUAAAAUGUAAGUUUAAUCAAAAGAGGAAUUAGUGAGCAUACGGGGAUUCUGUCAGGGUACUUCUCUCUGAUUCGAGAAGCUUCACCCAUCCUUGCCUCUGUUUAACAAAAUAAAACCAAAAGAUCAAUCACAAAGUCAAGCAUCGAAACAACACAAGAACAAAGCUUCCAAUUUGGUCAUGUCAGAGAUUAAUCAGGCUUGGUUUAGCUAAUUCGUAUUCCUAAAGAGGCAAGAACAAACACAAACAGAGAAAUAAACAGCAAACAAAGAAUCAGAAUCAUAUUAAGAGGUUGAGUCAGAGCCCAUACAUAAAACUAAUCAAGAUUGUGAACUGAAAUCAGAACCAGCUUCCGUAAUUUUCAUCGACAAAUAUCAGAAUCCCAAACGAUCUGAAGCAAGUUUUCGCAAGAAAAUCACUACUCAUAUCAGAAUCAAACACUCAGAAACUUCUAUUCGGUAAUCAAAAAUUAAGAAUCACCGAUAAGGGAUAAUUCUUCGGAAAGUCUAUGCAGCUAAUAAAAAAAAAGAGGAUCAAAGGAACUUACCCAGCGGAUUAGAAAGCUUGAAGGAACUCUUAGCCAUGGCGAUUCGAUCGGACUCUGCAAAUUUCAAGCACGCAAAGAUCAUAACUUUGAAAUUAUAAACACGAUCGAUGAUCAAAUUCAACCGUCUGCCAGAUCAAGGAAAAACAAAACCCAGAACCCUAGAAACUUGAAUUGGGAAGAACAAGAAUAAAAAAAAGGACGAAAGAAACAUACCCGAAGAAGAAACUGUAUGCGAUUCGUCGAAAGUAGGGUUUGCCGAGAACAAUCAAUUUGAUGGAAACUGGAAAAGAACCGAUAGAAGUCAAUAUCAAAGGAGGAUAAAGAGUAUAUUUAAAUACAACUAAAUAAAUAUAAUUGGUAAUUGAUUUAGGGUUUUCUAAGGGUUGCCUACACGGAACCGUAAUGUCCACUGUUGUGGAAUCGUUAACCACUUGGCUUAAUAUUAAUAGUUUGAUUGGCUUACAAGAAAUCUCGUACACCUGUCUUACGUCGGUACCGUCGAUUUUAUUUUAGAGCUUUGUUCGGCUCAAGUGGGCCUUCUUAUUCGGCUUAAUAUUUUCAUUGUGUAAGCUUAUGGCCCAAUUGUUAUCACAAAAAAUUAUUUCGAAGUAAACAAAAAAUUGUAGAAUAAAGGUGGUUCGGAUUUUGAGUUGGGUUUCGCUCUUAAUCAGGUCGGAUUUCUUUUUUUUUUUUUUGAAAAUAUAAUCAGGUCGGAUUAGGCUAAUCGUGAUUUUGUAAAUGCAAAUUUGACGGUUUUCUAAACACAAUCACAAGAUUAUUUUGGUAGGGUGUAAUUAUAAAACGUUGAAUAAUUUAUGUUAUUUUGUCAAAGCAAUAAAAUUAUUUGGAGUGUGUAGUAAAGAAGCAAAAAUACUAGACUCUGUUAUCAAGAAAUAAGCUGUAUAUGAACUAAUUUUUUUGUUUUUUUUUUCGUUUUGUAACAGGGAUAGAUCUAUUAACAAAAUCUAGAUUAAUCCAUGUGUAGAAAAUUGAUAUUUUUGCUACUUAAGAGUUAAGAUGUCUACAGCGAACAAAAAUAAUUUUAUAGAUGGUAAGAAUCGUUCUAUAUAUUGCCAUAUGACGAAUCUUCUUCCGCGUUGCUAGUUGUUACUUGCUAGUAAAGCUGACUGAGAAUAUAAAUAUAUGAUCAAUGUAUUAUGCAUAGAACCUAACUGAAUUUAAAGAAAAUUUGGAUGAAAACUGAACCAACAUAAGUUCAUAAUCUGAUCGGUAUUGUUUAUAUGUUUGAAAAAACUAAACCAAAAUCCAACCAAGCUCGAAUUCACUACAGCUGGUGGGAUAACCUGACUGAAUAAACUAAAAUUCAUUUAUAAAAAAAAUAUUAUUUUACUAGUAUAUCUUGAAAUGUAUCUUAUUAUAGUUAAAAUCCUUCAAAACAAAACUAUUAUGUAUAAAUUAUAAAUCGAUUUUAGCAGCGAACCAAAUCCACUAUAAAUGUAUAACGAUAUGAAUUGAUUUUCUCAAACAAAACAAAACAAACUUCAGUUCCAAUUUGGUAAAAGAACUUCCAAAGUACAAAUUAAAAACUACAAACUGAAAUAGAUAACAGAUACGGAGAUACCCAUCCCCUAGCAACACCAUCUCUAGUAACUAGUUGCUAGGACUUCAACAACAUUGAAAAGUGAAAGCUAAUGAGCAAUAUGGCACGAGCCCUUAGUCUUAUGUCGGACCAAAAAUGUUAAUAUCAUCCGAAACAUUUCCACUCUUGAUCGAGCCCAAAAAUGGCGAAGAGAUCGAGAGAGGCUCUCAAAUUUCUCAACCAAAGGUUCCAAAGGAUAUGCCAAUUUUCUCAAAAUUAUAAUAAAAUCUUAAGCUCAUUAAACUAAAGAGUUAAAGACCAUUGAGAACUACAAAUUAAAAACAACAUAAGAAAAAUGAUAUGGGUCCCAUGCAUGGGCUUGACAAGUCAUCCUCAUCGUCAUCAUACUUAUCUAAAAAAAUCCAAAAACCUAACAACAACAAAAAAAAGAAAGAGAACUCAACCAUAUUGGUAGUGUCAUGAUUCCCUACAUGAUGAUAACGACAAUAACAUUGCAUAUUUAAAUAAAUCAUGUGGAUACCAUAAAGUUUAGGUUUUAAUUCAUGAUAAUGAUAUGGUAUGGUGGUAGUAAAAGGUUUUUUUUGCGAUAUUGAUCUUGCUCCAUACCAUGACAUAACUAUGCUGGUGGUGGUGGUGAUGUUGAUGUGAUGUUCGAUUCCAAGAAACCUGUUUGGGUUAAGAUAGCAUUCCUUGUUUUGCUGAGAUCUCUUCCUUUGAGUGUUCGUCCGAUUCCUUCACACAUGGAGAAAGAUGAGAUCUGUGUUCUUGCGAGCCUUCUUGCUACCAAUUCAUGGGGAGGAACCAUUGCGUCUUCAUCAUCAUCAUCAUCAUGAAUGAGCAAAUGGCUGCUUCUUGUGUUCUUCUUUGUGUUCCCAUAAAUCUUGGACCAGUCAGGAACAUUCAUUGGAGCAGAUGACUGUUUUGCCCCGGAGACCUCGUUGCCCUUAGGAAUGUACCUCGCAGAAGAUGAUGAAGAGGCCGAGAAGAGAUUGUUACUUUUGGACAUUAUCAUUUCAGGACCUGGAGUUUCUUUUUCUCUCAAAACUGACCACACAUCUUCUUCAUCAAACUCUUCUACCCCUUCCAUUGUCACUCAAGAAAAAACCCUUCUCCUAAAUAUUGCUUCUUCUGAUGCAACUAGGUGCUAUUCUUCCUCCUGAAUCCAUGAAAAUACUCCAUCACUUUAUCCUAAAACCAUAAAAAGAAGAAGAGAGAAAGAUGAGAGAGAGAGGGAGAGAAUUGAUUACCUGAGAGACGCAGAGGAAGAUUCAGUGAAAAUGUGAUGUAUAAAAAUGUGAACCAUAAACAACAUUAAACAAUCUCUCUUUGCUGGCAAAUGAGAGACAGAGAGGUCAUUGAUUGCUUCAAAGGAAUCAAAAGCCUCCACAAUAGGCAGAGGUUUCAUAAAGAUCCAAAACUGUAUUAAUUUCGUACUUUUUUUGGGGUGCCAUAACUAUGAAUUAAAUAAAAAUAAUUAAAUAAUUAAAAGGGUUAGAUAUAGAGGAGUGGUAGCUUUUGGUACUAUUUCUACUAAGACCUGCCAAAAUUAUUGAUAGAGUCUGAUUCAUGCUAGAAGACAAAACCCAAUGUACUAUAUAUGAAAAGACUUGCUUUAUCUCAAACUUUUUCCUAAGCCAUAUUAUACUUUCUAAUCUUUUUUUGGCGAUAUGGAUUUUGUUAAUAACUUAAGAGGAAAAAGAUAAAUUGACUUAAAAGGGCUUGUGAUAUUAACAUAUUAUUAUCCUUUUUGAGAAUCUUGUUUAAUCAUUUUUCUUAAAAAUGUUAUCAUCAAAUUAUAAUUAUGGGAUAAAGAGUUUUGUUUUUCUACGUACGUAUAAUUAUGGGAAAAAGUGUUCGACGAAAGUAAUAUAGUUUCAUUAUAAUAAAAAUAACUUUGUAGUUAUCACACACAAAAAAAUCUGAAUCCCCGUGUCCGUACACACAUAAAUACAUCAGACUUUUUGGUGGGGUAAGAAUCAAAUCGAUUUAUAGUUUUUGUUAGACUAUCCAAUCCAACGCUUCAUGGGUCACCUCGCAAGGGAUGUUAUUCCAAAGAACGAUGUAAUAUAAGCGUAAUUUCAUUUAAGACCUCUAGUUUCGAAAGGUUUCUUAUUCAGCCUCUCAAAGUUUAUAGAGAACGAAUACGUAACUUAAUUGAAUGAGUGAUGAGUCCAAAUUCCAAACUUGAAGGAAAAGAAAAAGAAAAAAAAACUUAAGAACGUCUUUUUUUUUUUUUUUUGAAUGUAACUUAAGAACGUCUUGUUCCUUAAGAAACCUACAAAUUGCUUCAUGUACAUUGAUGAAAGUGUUGAAACAGUGAAACAAGAACUAAAUGUUGAAACUCAUUUAGUUUUGCAGAUAGGUGAAUUUCAGAUGAAAAUUUAGUUUUAAAAAUCAAUUAAAAAGAAAAAGAAUGAUAGUACAUAAACGUUUUGAACAAGAAAUGUCAUACAGUAUGUUGAAACAUAGGAAAAUACUCCUUUUCAAUCACGAUUAACAACUUUUAUGAAUCUCUUCUCGAUCAACUGCAUGUGAAGAUCGAUGGUUCUAGUCUAAGCCCUUCAAAUUCUUUACUCCAAUCAUAUCGCCGACAUGAUUCUAAUGGCCUAGUCAAUUUGGGCCUCUCUCUAUGGGCUUGUCUCAAUCGGGUGAAGUCUUGGCUCUUUAUUACAUAGGCUAAAAACGUGGAGUUAAAGAUGUUUUUGAAGAAGAUUGUUUAUUUUAUUUGUAAGUAAUAAAACUAUGACGAUACAUAUUGUAUGUGGUAGGGUUAGCUGAUAAUCAAGAGGAAAGCAAGGUUUGUAGUUUUAGACUUUUAGUCUAUAAGCGAAUCGAGUUUACUCACUAAAAUACGUGUAUUAUUAUAAUAAAGCUUGGUCUAAAACUCUUUGUAAUUAGGAAGAUGUCAAUGGUCAAUAUAGAAGUUGUUUUAUUGUCGAUCGACAGUGUAGUGUGCAAACACCUUUUAAUAUAAAUUGACUAAAUUAAAGUUUUUUGAGGUUUGUCGUGACCAAAUGUUAUAGAAUUUUUGUGUGUGCUUUCUAUACUGUCUAUUCACUCACAUCUUCCAUAGAUUUAUCAUUUAUCCAGUCGAUACCACAAUAGAUACAACUUCAUUUAUCCCUAUGCAAUUUUCUUAAGAGAAAGAACGAAUUUUCUGAUUCAUUGUACUCACGAAAUUGUGAUGAAAGAGUCUCAAUAUUCACUUCUUAUACCUUGCAAAACAACAAGUAUAAAUGAAGUUCGAAGAAAUGCAUUCUCUCUGGAAUCGAAUUUCUAGAAUCUCUUUUGUGAUUUUAACUUGACGCUUGCCUAUUGUAAACCUGACCGUUGAGGCUUAAAGGCCAAAGAGCAUCGAUAGCCUGAGAUAGGGUCUAGCGCAAACUGCAAAUUAGUGAGAAAUCAGCUCUUUGUGUCUGAGCCGUUUCAUCGACUCGUAAAAAGGUUUUCUUUCCCGCUUGGAGAAGAUGUUGUCACGGAUAAAGCGGUCCAUGACCUUGAAGUUUGCAUCAGGAGGAGAGGAAAUGCCACUGUGAAGUCUUUGAUUCCUUUCUUGCCAAAUGUUAUAGAUGAUCCACUGAGCUACAAGUCUCCGAAGAGUGAGCGGAGAGCGACCAGCCGGAGAUCUUUCCAUUUUUCCCCUCUUCUUUAUAGAUUCUCCUGUUUUUGUUUUUUUAGAAAGGAUUUUAUAAUGGCUGGUUAAGCUUAUGUACGUAACUUAACUACAAAACGCUCUAAUUUCUUAGUGAUAAUAACAGUACUAUUAAAAAAAUUGUGUCUGAGCCGUUUAUCUUUCAAGGGUUGAUUUCCCGUAUACAGUGUUAACCUAAGAAAUCCGUCAUCCGCCGUUUUCGUUAAUUUCGCAGAUCUCUUUUGGGUUAGAGAGGAAGUAACGUGUGAAUCACGGGAUCAGACAUUAGACCACUUAAGAAAAGAAAGAGAUCAGCGUUUCUGAAUUCUGAUACAUCCAGGUCACAGGAUCACUGGAUUCCUUAUAUGGGCUUCAUUGGGCUGAAAAGGCCCAUAGUUAUUACUUUUUUCAAGCUUCAAAACCUUAUGGCUUUAGUCGUUUACAAUUUCUACGUAAACACUUAUCACAGACAUUCUUCGGGCAAAAGGGUAGUUACGGCCAUUAAAGUGGCUAUAAAUGUAUAAAUGAAUAUCAAUGUAUAUAAUUUGGUUAAGUCUCGGUUUAGUUGGUACAAUUGGUAGGGUUAAAGUUAAUCCGGUCAGCUUGAUUUAUUUUGGUUUAGGUAAAGUGUAUAUACACUGUAUAUAGUAUAUUUUUGUUACAGUAUAUAACUAUAUAUAAACAUGAUUAUACAGUUCUUACACACAAUCAUGUGUAUACGGUAUUUUAACAUGAUUGUAACCUCUUUUUUUCUUUUGAUGAAUUAAUAACAUAAAUCUUUUCAAGUGUUGAUUCAUUUUCUCUAAUGUGGUAUGAGAGCUACGUUGCUGCAUAAGAAAUUAUCGAUGUUACUUAUUCCCAUUGCCAAUGAGAAAAUGGAGUAAGUGAUUGCUGCAUUUGUUUGAAUACAUUGUAAUAUAGUGUAAUUCCUCGCCGUCCAUAAAAUUAAGUCUUGGAGUUUUGAUUUUUCUAUGGGAUUGUACAUGUUACACAUGUAAACCAAAUGGUGAUACAAAUCUAAGCUAUAUGUGUAUCUCUCAAAGUUGAAAAAAGUUUCCAAACCAGCCUAACAAAGGAUGAAAUUAAAAAGACCUGGCAACUAUCAAAGGGUCUAUAUCCUUCACUAUUUCUGGAAACUCACACUUGGAUCCGAAAUUUGCUUUUAUAAGUCUGGUGAAAAAAAAUUAACGUCUUUUCUUUUGUCUUGGCAUUGAAUCUUGCAGGCCCCAUGGUUGAUGUAACGUCAAGGGCACGGAUGAGUACAGUUUCCACGUGUCAAUUCCAUACACUGAAAUUGGAUUCUUCUACUUAACCGAUAAUAAUAAUGGUACCGGUUAUCAUAAUGUUCUGUUCAACAUAUGACAUCUCUACACAGUUACUCGUCAUUAAUUUGUUAGUUAGAACUUGUAAAUCAGUGUUUAGCGCACACAUGUUAAGUGGAGUCCACUGAGCUAGAGAGUGACAUUACAGUGUGGCCCCUACAGUGCUAUUUGGCGAACACUUGGAUAAGGGAACAAAAGUGUCGGUGGUCACAAUAUUUCCAUUUUUGUUUUAAUGAAAAUGUUCAGAAUUUUUUUACGUGAAUACUGAAUAUACGAAUUCAGUGUAAUAUUGGUAACACAGAUACUUCUUUAUCCUUCUAUGAAUUUCUUAAAAAAUAGGUAUACUGUCCUCUCAUUUUAUAGAGCCGUUACUAUAUUUUACCUCUUUUCGUAUUACCAAAACUAGUGAAUUCGAUUCACUCUAAUCAAAAUAAGUUCUGUAGAUGCUGAAAAAGGAGAAAUAUAGUAGUCCCCACUAAAAAACUAAUAGGAGGCCUUUAGCUUUUGGCGCACCGGUUAUCAUCAAAGAAAUAUAAAGUGUUAUUUGUAUAAAUUUGAAAAAAUUUGUAGGUUGGAUUUUUUUUAGUUUAAUUGUGAACCUUGGCCCUUGAAUUUAGAUAAAAUUAUACUACUCAACACUAUUCUAAAUUGUCCUAUGAACUAGUGACAUAAAUCAAAUUUAACCUAAUAAGUUAUUUUUUUUUUUUAAAAAAGUGAACACUCAAUAGUGAUGUGUUGUGAACGAGUUUUAAACUUGGAACAGCUCAUCUCGAGAUUCAAGAUGAAAUCAAUAUUUGAGACGACUUUACAAUGCAUAAGCCUCUCUACUGACAAUCCCUUAUUACAUUUAGUAAAUUAAUUGAAUAGAUAAAUAAUUUCAGAAGAAAAAGUAAUUGAAUAUGUCCAACUGGAAUCAUAACUUAGAUUAAAUAUUCGAACUCAGCUUGUAAAGGAUAAGAAUCCACCUUGACUUCAUCGAAAUGAAAGAUUCCCUGAUAUAAAGGAGCGGUUUAGCCGCUGUAUCGACAAUAAUGAACAUUUCAGAUAAUUACAACUCAACCCGUUAACGUUUUUUACUUUAGCUAUCACACCCCAUAUAUCACAGUUGUUACAGCCGCCCCCUUUGUAUUAACAACAAAACAAGCAGAUUUUUUCAUAGGGUCCACUCAUACACUCAUAGAGACCAAAAAACAAAACUUGGUGAUUGGUUUAGCUAACGAAAACACCCUUCUAGAUGAGAUAAACCACCCAAAAUGCCAUCCACUUUAAAUCUCCAACAAACUUAUUUAUUGUCUCAUAGGCACUGUGUACGGCGUAGUGUAAGUCAUCUAGUAUUAGUAACAAGUGUGGUUUUUAGAUUUCUUACCCAGAUUAUCUUUUCAUAACAAUGUAUGAUAUACAUUUAAAUCUAAAAUAUAAAAGACGGACGAUGAGCCGAUGACCGAAUAUGUAAGUUUAAUUUAUUAUUAAGAAAAUGACGGAUAGGACAGAGACAUACAAUUAUUGUAGGGUAAUCAAUUAUAAUAAUCUUUUUGGUUUCUCAAUAGUUAAAAACGAAUAAUUUAUAAACUAGAGCUUAAUAGUCUUUUAGUAUAUGAUAUAAUCACAAAAAUGUAUUCGUAGAAACGUGGAAGCUUCACCUACCUGCAUUAGUUUACUGUAAUCUCCAAAUUAAACCUUUAGUUUUACUGAAAAAAUAAAUAAAGAAGAAAACAGUAUUUCCUUUAUUUAAGGACGCUGCAUUGCUUGCUCAGUGACUCAACUCAAGAGUGGUGUUGUGUGAGAGAGAGAAGAAGAAGGAGAAAGAUAAAAAAAAAUGGGAGGAAAAGGUGCGAUGAUGGUGGCGAUACUCUGCCUUUGGGCACUCUCUGCAACAUCAGAAGCAGUUGUAACAGAGGAGGAGCCCGGCUUGAUGAUGAACUUCUACAAGGACACGUGUCCUCAGGCCGAAGACAUCAUCCGUGAACAAGUCAAACUCCUCUACAAACGCCACAAGAACACCGCUUUUUCUUGGCUCCGUAACAUCUUCCACGACUGCGCCGUGGAGGUCCCAACUCUCUCUCUCUCUCUUACUCUCUCUCUGUCUCUAGAUCUCUCUUUCUCUCAAUGAUAUUUCAUGUUUUGCGUGAUGGGAUAGGAUUUCUUGGAUGAUUUUAGUGGAAAAGUACCAAUCGUUGUGUAAAACAUAGCUUAAGGUUAGAACUUUUUACUUGAAACAGAGCUAAAGAUUAACUCUGUUUUGUAAUACAGUCAUGCGAUGCGUCGCUUUUGCUUGAUUCCACAAGAAGAGAGCUAGGAGAGAAAGAACACGACAGGAGCUUCGGUCUGAGAAACUUCAGGUACAUAGAGGAGAUCAAGGAAGCUCUUGAGAGGGAGUGCCCUGGUGUUGUCUCUUGUUCCGACAUUCUCGUCUUGUCCGCAAGAGAAGGCAUUGAAGCAGUAAGUUAAAAACAAGUCGUGCUGUUUCUUUCCCUUGUUACGAAACUGCGUAUUGUUGUUUUUUUUUUUUUUUUUUCUGUGGGAUGUUUUUAUUAAGUGUGUGUGUGUGUGGGAUAUUGUUUUGUAGGUGGGAGGACCGCAUAUUCCGAUGAAGACAGGAAGGAGAGAUGGACGUAAAAGCAGGACUGAUAUGCUUGAGUCUUAUCUUCCCGACCACAACGAGAGUAUCUCUGUAGUUCUUGAAAAGUUCAAAUCCAUCGGAAUCGACACUCCCGGCCUCGUCGCUCUCCUCGGUACAUUAUUCUUUCUCCUCCUGAACUAUCUCUCACUAGUCUCCGUGCAAAACGUAUCGCUUGAAAGUCAAAACUCUUGACCACCCAAGAAAUUAUUUACAUAUUCCAAUACAAGGGUAUUAUCGUCAAUUUUGACUCAUGCAUGAAAACACUCUUAGGAAGAUUAGUGAAACGACUUGAGCUAGUCUUGUCGGCUCGCAUCGGAGUAUGCGAUCUGAGUCGGAUAAGUUGGAUAUUAUAAGAUUUUGACUUUUUUUGUUAUGACACGUGCGCAGGAUCUCACAGCGUGGGAAGAACUCAUUGUGUUAAGCUGGUGCACCGUUUGUACCCUGAGGUUGAUCCGUCUUUGAACCCGGACCACGUUCCUCACAUGCUUCACAAGUGUCCUGACUCGAUCCCUGACCCAAAAGCGGUCCAGUACGUGCGUAACGACCGUGGUACGCCCAUGGUGCUAGACAACAACUACUACCGUAACAUCCUGGACAACAAGGGUUUGCUCCUUGUGGACCACCAGCUCGCACACGACAAACGGACCAGACCAAUUGUUAAGAAGAUGGCUAAGGACCAGGCUUACUUCUUCAAGGAGUUCACUAGAGCGAUCCAGAUCUUGUCUGAGAACAAUCCUUUGACUGGUUCCAAGGGUGAGAUCAGGAAACAGUGUAAUCUGGCCAACAAGAUCCACUGAGGUUGGAAAGAGUGAGAAAAGAGAGAGCGCCUCUUUGUGUUUGGGGUUUUCUCUGCACUUACUUGGCAUUGAGCUAAGAUGAAUAAAUAAAUGUUUUAAGAAGUUGAAAUGAAAUGAAGGGUGAUGAUGAAUGCAUCAUGGUGGUGACCACAUGCACUCUUCUUUUUGUGUGUUGUUGUUUUAGCCUUAAUGCUUUAAUUAUGAUGGUAGUGGGUCUUUCGAGUUAUUUAAUCAAAAUGUUGUUUCUUUUGUUGAUUUUGGGUUGUAGUGGGGUUGAUGGCAUGGAUGUAUGAUAUGAUGGACUGGUGUAUGGGUAUCAAGUAGUAUGAUGAUCUAAUGAUAAGUGAAUGGUGGAAUCGUA